rnacentral:rRNA from 1 species
GAUGAACGCUGGCGGCGUGCUUAACACAUGCAAGUCGAACGGAAAGGCUCCUGCUUGCAGGGGUACUCGAGUGGCGAACGGGUGAGUAACACGUGGGUGAUCUGCCCUGCACUUCGGGAUAAGCCUGGGAAACUGGGUCUAAUACCGGAUAGGACGAUGGUUUGGAUGCCAUUGUGGAAAGUUUUUCGGUGGUGGCUGAGCUCGCGGCCUAUCAGCUUGUUGGUGGGGGAAUGGCUUACCAAGGCGUCGACGGGUAGCCGGCCUGAGAGGGUGUACGGCCACAUUGGGACUGAGAUACGGCCCAGACUCCUACGGGAGGCAGCAGUGGGGAAUAUUGCACAAUGGGCGCAAGCCUGAUGCAGCGACGCCGCGUGGGGGAUGACGGCCUUCGGGUUGUAAACUCCUUUCGCUAGGGACGAAGCGCAAGUGACGGUACCUGGAGAAGAAGCACCGGCUAACUACGUG